rnacentral:rRNA from 1 species
UACGUAGGGCGCGAGCGUUGUCCGGAAUUAUUGGGCGUAAAGGGCUUGUAGGCGGUUGGUCGCGUCUGCCGUGAAAUCCUCUGGCUCAGCUGGGGGCGUGCGGUGGGUACGGGCUGGCUUGAGUGCGGUAGGGGAGGCUGGAACUCCUGGUGUAGCGGUGGAAUGCGCAGAUAUCAGGAGGAACACCGGUGGCGAAGGCGGGUCUCUGGGCCGUUACUGACGCUGAGGAGCGAAAGCGUGGGGAGCGAACAGG